rfam:Picoides pubescens contig95867, whole genome shotgun sequence.
GAAUGUGCCAGGGUCAAGUCUGCACUGAUUUUCAUGGUGAAUAGAUUACAUGCUUGCAUUCAUGUUCACUUCCGAAGCGCUCAGUGUCUUCCUUCCCUUACUUACAUAUUAACCUCAAAUACCUCUCGCGGCUUCAGACAAGCUUUGCUGGGGGUGGUUAACAAUGUCGGGUUCUCAGGACGCAGGGUCCCU